rnacentral:snRNA from 1 species
GCAAGGGUUAUCAGGCUGCGACAUUUAGCACCCCAGUGAUCACCAGGGUUGGUUAAGCUGAUCUGGCUGGGCAAGUGUCUCCCUCAUCCCUCAGCACAGCAUGUGUGUCUGUCCAGCAUCUGCAUACUGGGCCAACAGAGGAGGACUGGUUCUUGGGUAAAGGGUUCCGUAGUAGCUGUAUUCCUCUGCUCAAACCUCCAAACAAGCUCUCAACAUUCAAUUGAAAAAUUUCUAUGCCACCAUUCAUAGGGAGUUUUACAUUGAUUAACUUAAAAGUUUAAACAAAAU